UACAGAGGGUGCAAGCGUUGUUCGGAAUUAUUGGGCGUAAAGCGCGUGUAGGCGGCUUAGCAAGUCGGGCGUGAAAGCCCUCGGCUCAACCGAGGAAGUGCACCCGAAACUGCUGAGCUUGAGUGCCGGAGAGGAUGGCGGAAUUCCCCAAGUAGAGGUGAAAUUCGUAGAUAUGGGGAAGAACACCAGUGGCGAAGGCGGCUAUCUGGACGGUUUCUGACACUAAGACGCGAAAGCGUGGGGAGCAAACAGG
rnacentral:rRNA from 1 species